UUGUUUUUCUCAGAAAAAUCAGAGUAGAAAGAAAGAUGGACAUACAGACUGGUAGUAGUAGUAGGAGGAGGAGGAGGGGGAAGGAGGAAGAACCUGGCAAGCCUUGGAGGUAACAGGAAGGCGACCGGAGACCUUGGUUGGGGAUAUUUCCUCAAGCUGGAAACCCAUGGCGUGUAUGGGAGCAUCCAAAAUAGCUGUCUUAUUGGAGGGGUUCUGGCCCUGGCUCUGGCUCAGGCUCUGACUCUGACUCUGACUCUGACUCUCCAUCGUUCUCCCCUUCUCUUGGAUGACUAUGAUCACCGGAUUCACCACCACUCUUCUCUCCAAAACCAAGACAUUUUUUUCUCUCGUGGGGAGGAUGAUGAUAACCACGCUCUUAUUUCAGAAAUGAUAAGGGUUAGUUCUGUACAUUUGCUGUAUAAGGUGGGCCUACUGCCUAGUGCAGGGGUUAGGUGCAAUGGUAGAAUUCUAUGCACACCAGAAACAAAACAACGCGGUAGUUGGCCUCUCUCCACGCCUCUUCUCUCUCUGCCACAAUUGGGCAAACCCGUCCUCCCCUCCUUCAAUUCUUCUUUAUUUACAUU
rnacentral:lncRNA from 1 species